UACGAAGGGGGCUAGCGUUGCUCGGAAUCACUGGGCGUAAAGCGCACGUAGGCGGAUUGUUAAGUCAGGGGUGAAAUCCUGGAGCUCAACUCCAGAACUGCCUUUGAUACUGGCAAUCUCGAGUCCGGGAGAGGUGAGUGGAACUGCGAGUGUAGAGGUGAAAUUCGUAGAUAUUCGCAAGAACACCAGUGGCGAAGGCGGCUCACUGGCCCGGUACUGACGCUGAGGUGCGAAAGCGUGGGGAGCAACAGGGAUUAAGAA
rnacentral:rRNA from 1 species